GGGGAAGCUCAUACCUCUCCAGCUCUCCUGCGUGCUCUCGAACACCACCCUGCUUGGUUGAGAACCACUCCUGCAAAUCAACAUUGUUUCAAUGUCUGAUGUGACACACACAAGAACUGGGAA